rnacentral:pre_miRNA from 1 species
AAUGAAGUGGCUGGGUCACAUGGUAAGUAUGUUUAACUUUUAAAGAAAUUGUCAAACUGUUUUCCAAAGUGGCUGUACCAUUAUAUAGUCCCACCAGCAGU